rnacentral:rRNA from 1 species
UCAGCAGCCGCGGUAAUACAGAGACUGCAAGCGUUAUUCGGAUUCACUGGGCGUAAAGGGUGCGCAGGCGGCCGUGUGUGUAAGGUGUGAAAUCCCGGGGCUCAACCCCGGAACUGCGCCUUAAACUACAUGGCUAGAGUAUUGGAGAGGGUAGUGGAAUUCACGGUGUAGCAGUGAAAUGCGUAGAUAUCGUGAGGAACACCAGAGGCGAAGGCGACUACCUGGACAAUUACUGACGCUCAGGCACGAAAGCGUGGGGAGCAAAAGGGAUUAGAUACCCCUGUAGUCCACGCCCUAAACGGUGCACACUAGGUCUUGGCGGAUUCGACCCCACCAGGGCCCAAGCUAACGCGUUAAGUGUGCCGCCUGAGGACUACGGCCGCAAGGCUAAAACUCAAAGGAAUUGACGGGGGCCCGCACA